CUUCACCGAACCCAACAACAACGGCCGCUCACGACCCUGCCCGUAGGUCGCCAACACCGCCUGCGCCUC
rfam:Actinoalloteichus hoggarensis strain DSM 45943 chromosome, complete genome.